rnacentral:rRNA from 2 species
GGAGGAAAAGAACUAACAAGGAUUCCCCUAGUAACUGCGAGUGAAGCGGGAAAAGCUCAAAUUUAAAAUCUGGCAGUCUCUGGCUGUCCGAGUUGUAAUCUAGAGAAGUGCUGCCCGCGCUGGACCGUGUACAAGUCUCCUGGGAUGGAGCGUCAUAGAGGGUGAGAAUCCCGUCUCUGACACGGACUACCAGGGCUUUGUGGUACGCUCUCAAAGAGUCGAGUUGUUUGGGAAUGCAGCUCAAAAUGGGUGGUAAAUUCCAUCUAAAGCUAAAUAUUGGCGAGAGACCGAUAGCGAACAAGUACCGUGAGGGAAAGAUGAAAAGAACUUUGGAAAGAGAGUUAAACAGUACGUGAAAUUGCUGAAAGGGAAACGCUUGAAGUCAGUCACAUUGGCUGGGGAUCAGCCUCGCUCUUUUGCGUGGUGUACUUCCUGGUUGAUGGGUCAGCAUCAAUUUUGACCGCUGGAAAAAGGCUUGAGGAAUGUGGCAGCUCYGGCUGUGUUAUAGCUUCUUGUCACAUACAGCGGUUGGGAUUGAGGAACUCAGCACGCCGCAAGGCCGGGUUUCGACCACGYUCGUGCUUAGGAUGCUGGCAUAAUGGCUUUA